rnacentral:rRNA from 1 species
GUUAGGAAUAUUGGACAAUGGGCGAAAGCCUGAUCCAGCCAUGCCGCGUGAACGAUGAAGGCCUUCGGGUUGUAAAGUUCUUUAGCCGAUGAUUAUAAUGACUGUAGUCGGAAAAUAAGCCCCGGCUAACUUCGUGCCAGCAGCCGCGGUAAUACGAAGGGGGCGAGCGUUAUUCGGAAUCACUGGGCGUAAAGCGUGCGUAGGCGGUUUUGUAAGUUAGGAGUGAAAGCCCAGGGCUCAACCUUGGAAUUGCUCUUAAAACUGCAAGGCUCGAAUCUCAGAGAGGAUAGCGGAAUUUCCAGUGUAGCAGUGAAAUGCGUAGAUAUUGGAAGGAACACCAGUGGCGUAAGCGGCUAUCUGGACGAGUAUUGACGCUGAGGCACGAAAGCGUGGGGAUCAAACAGGAUUAGAUACCCCUGUAGUCC